UUUUAGACCUGAAUCUGAGCCUGAAGUUGAAGUGCCACGUCCUGCUAGAAGAGGUGAAGUAGUACAGGAACGGGUUAAGGCAGCAGUUGAAACUCACCAGGGCUAAGGUGACCCUUCGCAUUUUGUAGAUCAGCAAGGAGGACAUGGCAUACAGACAUGUGCAGCACGGGGCACGUGCACAAAUACCCACCACACUGCAGCCAUGAGUCUGCUCUGCUCUUCAGCAACGGUUAGCUCAGCGGUGAAGCACUUUGCUUACUUGUGUGGUGGUCAAGCUCUCCAGCCAGCAGUGGCAGCCCAACAACAAACAGCGGGAAGGCAGCCAGCAUCCCCUGGGAAGGCAGCAGGAGUUACUGGUGUGAACUGAGAGGAUAUGCAUAGCUACAGCAGUGCCCUAGGAGUUGGGCGAGUUUUUUAUCCUCCUAUCUGCAGCCUUUAGGCAAAGGUAGGACAGGAGCAGGUAAGAAAAAAAAAACCCCAUCCCCUGCCAGUGCUGAUCUUCAGCACCACAUAGGAAUUGCUGUGCCUGACUCCAUACAUCAGUUUAUAACAUCCUGCCUUACUGCACAAACAACUGGGCCAGCUUCCCUGCCCUCAGCCAUGUUCAUCUUUCUCCCCCAGAGGUCACUGGGAGAAGGAAAGAAAUAUCCUUUCCAAACCAUCACUAGGCAGAAACCUGCUGAGAUUGUGAAGGCAAUGUGGGGAGAGGAGGUCAGUCCUCAGCACAACACUGGAAAGCAGCUUUCCUGACAAAGCAGCUUUUCCGAUCAGGGCAGCUCCUCAGCUGAGUAUGCA